AAUGAACGCUGGCGGCGUGCUUAACACAUGCAAGUCGAACGAGAACACUUCUUCGGAAGUUAGUAAAGUGGCGAACGGGUGAGUAACACGUAAGAAUUUACCUUUUAGUGGAGGAUACCCUGGAGAAAUUCAGGUUAAUACUGCAUAAGCCCUGCGGGGGAAAGACGGCCUCUUGCUGUCGCUAAAAGAUAAGCUUGCGGACUAUUAGUUUGUUGGUGGGGUAAUGGCCUACCAAGGCGAUGAUGGUUAGCCGGCCUGAGAGGGUGUACGGCCACAUUGGGACUGAGAUACGGCCCAGACUCCUACGGGAGGCAGCAGUGGGGAAUAUUGCACAAUGGGGGAAACCCUGAUGCAGCAACGCCGCGUGGGGGAUGAAGGUUUUCGGAUUGUAAACUCCUGUCGAGAGGGAAGAAAUGCCCGUGAGUAAUAUGCACGGGAGCUGACGGUACCUCUCAAGAAAGCCCCGGCUAACUUCGUGCCAGCAGCCGCGGUAAUACGAAGGGGGCGAGCGUUAUUCGGAAUAACUGGGCGUAAGGAGUGUGUAGGUGGCUAUUUAAGUUAGUUGUUAAAGAUCACGGCUUAACCGUGAGGAUGCGAUUAAUACUGAGUAGCUAGAGGGCAAGAGAGAGAAGUGGAAUUCUUGGAGUAGCGGUAAAAUGCGUAGAUCUCAAGAGGAACACCGAAAGCGAAGGCAGCUUCUUGGCUUGUUUCUGACACUAAAGCACGAAAGCGUGGGGAGCAAACAGGAUUAGAUACCCUGGUAGUCCACGCCGUAAACGAUGAUCACUAGAUGUGGGUUAGGUUUUACCUGAUCCGUGUCGAAGCUAACGCGUUAAGUGAUCCGCCUGGGGAGUACGGUCGCAAGAUUAAAACUCAAAGGAAUUGACGGGGGUCCGCACAAGCGGUGGAACAUGUGGUUUAAUUCGACACUACGCGAGGAACCUUACCUAGGUUUGACAUGUAGCUGCUCGCCAUAGAGAUAUGGUUUUCUAAGUUUACUUAGACGGUUACACGGGUGCUGCAUGGCUGUCGUCAGCUCGUGUCGUGAGAUGUUAGGUUAAGUCCUUUAACGAGCGCAACCCUUGCCGUUAGUUGCAACUCUUAGUGAGGCACUCUAGCGGGACUGCCUGGGGAACCAGGAGGAAGGUGGGGAUGACGUCAAGUCCUCAUGGCCCUUAUACCUAGGGCUACACACGUGUUACAAUGGCAAGUACAACGGGGAGCAAAUCCGCGAGGAAGAGCAAAACCUUCAAAGCUUGUCUAAGUUCGGAUUGAAGUCUGCAACCCGACUUCAUGAAGCUGAAAUCGCUAGUAAUCGCGUAUCAGAACGACGCGGUGAAUACGUUCUCGGACCUUGUACACACCGCCCGUCACACCACGAAAAUCGUCUAUACCCAAAAUCACUUUAGCUAACCGUUUUACGGAGGCGAGUGCUUAAGGUAUGGAGGGUGAUUGGGGUG
rnacentral:rRNA from 1 species